AGUUGCAAGAACUCCUCAAAUCCCUGUAGAUAGGGCUGCAACCCGUCUCCCUUUUUGGAGGCGGGACACGCCCAUCUAAUCCAAGAUCUAGAUCCUCCUGACAGAAUUGUAUUUUUCUUGAGGGCCUGGUAAGCCACAAAACACUACCAUAUACACAAGUUUCAAGUCUCUUCUUCUUAGAUAAUUAUUGUAUACACUGAACUAAACAGAUCCUGGAAGAAUCAAUUUUCUUCUUUCUUGAGGUCCUGGGUUGGAGAAUGAAUUCUUAAAGUACCUGGACGACUGGGACACUGGGAAAAAUCGGUUUCUAGCCGUAAGGAGCUUAAGUGCACUGCAUGGCUGCAACAAGAUGCUGUAGUGAUGCCACAAGGACUGAAGUUCACAGUCAGUCAAAUCAUUCAUUGACAUGGUAAAGCACCUGUUCAUCCUCCCUGACGCAAGUGCCUUUCUGAGUGAGCGAAUCGGCUAGAACCCUCUAACUACUUUUCUAUUUGAUGCACAUAAUUAUUUUUUUACCUGUGAUCAAACAACCAUAAUUAUAAUUGAA